GACGUAGGGCGCGAGCGUUUGUCCGGAUUUAUUGGGCGUAAAGAGCUCGUAGGCGGCUUGUUGCGUCGACUGUGAAAACCCGCGGCUCAACCGUGUGGCUUGCAGUCGAUACGGGCAGGCUAGAAUUCGGUAGGGGAGACUGGAAUUCCUGGUGUAGCAGUGAAAUGCGUAGAUAUCAGGAGGAACACCGAUGGCGAAGGCAGGUCUCUGGGCUGACACUGACGUGAGGAGCGAAAGCGUGGGGAGCGAACAGG
rnacentral:rRNA from 1 species